rnacentral:rRNA from 1 species
CCUACGGGUGGCAGCAGUGAGGAAUAUUGGUCAAUGGCCGAGAGGCUGAACCAGCCAAGUCGCGUGAGGGAAGACGGCCCUACGGGUUGUAAACCUCUUUUGUCGGGGAGCAAAGCGAGUCACGUGUGACUCAUUGAGAGUACCCGAAGAAAAAGCAUCGGCUAACUCCGUGCCAGCAGCCGCGGUAGUACGGAGGAUGCGAGCGUUAUCCGGAUUUAUUGGGUUUAAAGGGUGCGCAGGCGGAGGUGCAAGUCAGCGGUAAAAUUGCGGGGCUCAACCCCGUACUGCCGUUGAAACUGCAUCCCUUGAGUGCGCGAGAGGUAUGCGGAAUGCGUGGUGUAGCGGUGAAAUGCAUAGAUAUCACGCAGAACUCCGAUUGCGAAGGCAGCAUACCGGCGCGCAACUGACGUUGAUGCACGAAAGCGUGGGUAUCGAACAGGAUUAGAUACCCCAGUAGUC